GAUGAACGCUGGCGGCGUGCCUAAUACAUGCAAGUCGAGCGAACGGACGAGAAGCUUGCUUCUCUGAUGUUAGCGGCGGACGGGUGAGUAACACGUGGAUAACCUACCUAUAAGACUGGGAUAACUUCGGGAAACCGGAGCUAAUACCGGAUGAUAUUUUGAACCGCAUGGUUCAAAAGUGAAAGACGGUCUUGCUGUCACUUAUAGAUGGAUCCGCGCUGCAUUAGCUAGUUGGUAAGGUAACGGCUUACCAAGGCAACGAUGCAUAGCCGACCUGAGAGGGUGAUCGGCCACACUGGAACUGAGAAACGGUCCAGACUCCUACGGGAGGCAGCAGUAGGGAAUCUUCCGGAAUGGGCGGAAGCCUGACGGAGCAACGCCGCGUGAGUGAUGAAGGUCUUCGGAUUGUAAAACUCUGUUAUUAGGGAAGAACAUAUGUGUAAGUAACUGUGCACAUCUUGACGGUAACUAAUCAGAAAGCCACGGCUAACUACGUG
rnacentral:rRNA from 1 species